GUAUAUCUUACACUAGUCAUAUAUUUCAUAAUAUCCUUUUGUCGUAUUACGAAAAAGAUAAUUUAUGACGUAAGCCAUAGUAGGCUAAAAAGUGUUAAGAAAUGGAAUUAUAAGUAAGUGACCGCACGGUGUAAAUCGGAGCGAGUCAUACAUAUAUUUACGAGGUGGUAAUAAAUAUCAUCUCGCUAAUAUAAUCGGUCAAUUCGGCCAAACGGGUCAAAAGGUGAAAUUAUCACCCUUUGACAAUAUCGACUAAUGGGUUGUCAAGAUGCAUGAUUUUAGGAAAUAAAUAGCACAUGGAUGCUUACAUCGCUAUCGCUUAGCAACCACUAAGGAAAUGUAUUGAAAUGGGUCAAUAUAUUGAUCCGAGCCAGGUGAAGAUGGGAUAAGCGGUUUGAAAGAUACGAAAGUUUUCGUGCAAAUAAACGGCAAAAUAGGAAAGCUGGAAAGCAGGGGCCACCGUAACUUACGGUGCCACCGUAAGUUACGGUGGAGCUGAAGGCUUUACGGCAGCCCCCUACUGAUUUACGGUAGGGGCAUGUCACACCAGGGGCCACCGUAACUUACGGUGCCACCGUAAGUUACGGUGGAGGCCAGUUGGAAAUCCAUGUUUUGAGAUCAAAAGUUUAACGUUCUUUUUGGAUGCCGGAAGACGAUCAAGCUCAUCGAAGGACCGAACACGAUAAAGAUACAUGCUUCCGCACAUUUCCUCGUCGUAAA